GCUCAGUUGGUAGAGCUGGUAGAGCAUGGUGUUUGCAACGCCAGGGUUGUGGGUUCGAUUCCCAC
rnacentral:tRNA from 1 species